rnacentral:rRNA from 1 species
CCUACGGGAGGCUGCAGUGGGGAAUAUUGGACAAUGGGCGAAAGCCUGAUCCAGCCAUGCCGCGUGUGUGAAGAAGGCCUUCGGGUUGUAAAGCACUUUCAGUGGGGAAGAAAGCCUUGGGGCUAAUACCCUCGAGGAAGGACAUCGCCCACAGAAGAAGCACCGGCUAACUCCGUGCCAGCAGCCGCGGUAAUACGGAGGGUGCGAGCGUUAAUCGGUAUUACUGGGCGUAAAGCGCGCGUAGGCGGUCUGAUAAGCCGGUUGUGAAAGCCCCGGGCUCAACCUGGGAACGGCAUCCGGAACUGUCAGGCUAGAGUGCAGGAGAGGAAGGUAGAAUUCCCGGUGUAGCGGUGAAAUGCGUAGAGAUCGGGAGGAAUACCAGUGGCGAAGGCGGCCUUCUGGACUGACACUGACGCUGAGGUGCGAAAGCGUGGGUAGCAAACAGGAUUAGAUACCCGAGUAGUC